GGGUUUGAAGGGGGUGGGGCGUUUCUCUUACUACGGUGGCCGGGGAGCUCGAGGUGCCUGCAGCUGCGGCGCUGAGGUCGGGGCGUCUGCGUGUGUGGCGGCUGCUUUUGUGGCGGCUGCUGGUGGAGCUGGAACAUUUCCCGAACAAAAGUCUAAACUUACAGAAGAAUGCAAUCAAGUGAUGGCUUUUUCUUUAGAAUCUGAAUAUGGAGGCCACAGGAACAGAUGAAGUUGACAAGCUGAAAACUAAAUUUAUAUCUGCUUGGAACAACAUGAAAUAUAGUUGGGUGUUGAAAACAAAGACAUAUUUUAGUAGAAAUUCCCCUGUAUUAUUGCUUGGAAAGUGUUACCAUUUUAAAUAUGAAGAUGAAAAUGAACUGUUACCUGUAAGCUCAGGAUGUACAAUAGAAGAUCAUGUGAUUGCGGGAAGUGUAGAAGAAUUUCGUAAAGACUUCAUUUCAAGAAUAUGGCUUACCUACAGGGAAGAGUUUCCUCCAAUAGAAGGCUCAGCUUUGACAACGGACUGUGGUUGGGGCUGUACACUAAGAACUGGCCAGAUGCUGUUGGCUCAAGGACUCGUACUACACUUCCUUGGUAGAGCUUGGACCUGGCCUGAUGCUUUGAACAUUGAAAAUUCAGACUCUGAAUCAUGGACUUCCAACACUGUAAAAAAAUUUACUGCAUCAUUCGAAGCAUCGCUUUCAGCGGAAAGAGAACUCAAAACCCCAACAAUUUCUCUGAAGGAAACAAUCGGGAGAUAUUCUGAUGAUCGUGAAAUGCAAAAUGAAAUUUAUCACAGGAAAAUCAUCUCUUGGUUUGGUGAUUCCCCCUUGGCUCUCUUUGGUUUACAUCAACUAAUAGAAUAUGGAAAGAAGUCUGGGAAAAAAGCUGGAGAUUGGUAUGGACCAGCUGUGGUUGCUCACAUUUUAAGAAAAGCAGUUGAAGAAGCAAGACACCCAGAUUUACAAGGAAUAACUAUUUAUGUUGCGCAAGACUGUACAGUUUACAGUUCUGAUGUAAUUGAUAAACAGUGCACUUCCAUGGCCUCUGAUAAUACAGAUGACAAAGCUGUUAUUAUUCUAGUUCCUGUUAGACUUGGUGGAGAAAGAACCAAUGCCGACUAUUUAGAUUUUGUAAAGGGUAUUUUAAGCCUUGAAUAUUGUGUGGGUAUUGUUGGUGGCAAACCUAAACAGUCAUAUUACUUUGCUGGAUUUCAAGAUGACAGUUUGAUUUACAUGGAUCCUCAUUACUGCCAAUCUUUUGUAGAUGUCAGCAUAAAGGAUUUCCCUCUUGAGACAUUCCACUGCCCUUCUCCCAAAAAGAUGUCAUUUCGAAAAAUGGAUCCUAGCUGUACAAUAGGAUUUUACUGUCGAAAUGUUCAGGACUUCAAACGAGCUUCUGAAGAAAUCACUAAGAUGCUGAAAAUUUCUUCUAAGGAGAAAUAUCCCUUAUUUACUUUUGUAAAUGGUCAUUCCAGAGACUAUGAUUUUACAUCUACUACAGCCAAUGAAGAAGACCUUUUCUCAGAGGAUGAAAAGAAAAGAUUAAAAAGAUUUAGCACAGAAGAGUUUGUCUUGCUGUAAAGAUUAGCACAUUUGUGCUUGAUGAGAAGAAAUCCUUUGAAGGAAGCAAAAUGAAGAGAAACAAGUAUACUUGAAACUGGUUUAUUUUCACAAAUACCUUAAUUUUAUAUGUUCUUUAAAAAAAGAACAUUUGAAAAUAUACAAGUUUUAAAGAUAUUUUUUUGAAAGAGAAAUGAUUCAGUGAAUCUUGAUUUCUAAUAAAUAUCAAGUGAUUCUGGCUGCAUUCCUGUUUCCCUAAGAUCUGCUAAUGAUAACUCUACCUUAACUGCAAGUCUUCCAGUCUUCAAAUUCUUCCACCUGGGUCCAGUAUUCUCCUGAAGGUUUUGUGAUAUUGGGCCCCAAAAUAGGAUCACCAAAUAGUUUCAAAAGCUUCAGAUUAUACUAAUGACCAGAAGAGCAGAGAAUGAAUCUUCAGUGCUGCCUAAGCCUCCUGAUAUUAAUGCAACCAAAGGAUGCUUUUGGAUGUAUCUUGAUAUAUUAAAUAGUAAUUUUUAGCUGUGAUAUGAUAUAAUUACAUAAGCAGAAUUUUGAGUUAAGGUAAUACUUAGCAAUAUGAUUUUACAGUGGCACCUCAUUUUACUUGCUGUUGAGCCUUGUCUGAGCAGUGAAGGUAAAGUAUUGGUUUUCCCUACAGAUUUAAAGGUUAUGUUAUUACUAAUAACUACAUCCAAUCUAACAGAUAAAGGCAAAAUUGUUUGUUUCCUAUCUCAAAAAUGAAAUUUUAUGGAAACUCUACUUAUUAUGCAGUUUUAAAAUCUAAAGAUAAGUACCAGGAAAGAUAUCAGUAGAUGCUCCUCCAUGUGAUUUUUGCUAUUUGUAUAAAUCAGUGCAGUGGCCAUCUAUAAGGUAAAUCUGCCUUAAGUGUGUUAUGUAUUGCUUAAAGGCAAAUAUGUGAUAUAAAAGUAGGAGUUAUUAUUGAGCCAGGUUUAUAAAAUAAGUACUUUAAUAAAGAUGUAAGAACUUAAAAUGCCUUUGUUUUGGUUUUAAUGGGAUUAUUUUAAUCCUUUCAUUUGAAAAAUCAUUGUCUCAAAUGAAUUCUGUUUAUUUAUAAUGAAGGCAAAUAAUAUUGUUGCUUUGAAAGCAAGUAUUAACUUAUUUUAUGAAGCUUCCAUGUUUCAGUGUGAAAAGGUGGCUUAUAAAGACAUAAAAUUGGGUAUCAUUUAAAGUCAUUGAUAUUUUCCCUUCAGGAAGCCUAUUUGUUAGGUUUAGAGUUACAUGCAAAACUGAAAGAGGGUGGGCAGAUAGAUUGCUUUGGUAUGCCUGAUGAGAGAAAUCAGGUUUGGCAUUUCCUGGUGAAGAUAUUUUAUUGAAUUCAAAAAAUAGUCAGUAAUCUAAAAUUUUCCUUUACCCUAGAUGAAAUCUGGACAAGUUAAGUAUGGUACUGAUUUUCGUAGAAUGCGAAAGCAGUACAGGUACAACAAGAAGCCAGUGGUAUGCCUGAUUUUAUACACUGCAGCUCCCUCGUCUAAAGUACUGCAAUUUGUUGUUCCUAUACACCUGCAGUAGUCACAGGAUUCUACAACAAACACAUCAAAUGAGAGCACCAUAUCUUCAAACAAAUCAGAACUGACUGUAAGUGUUCUCUUACAAGGACUAUAUACAAGCUUAGAAUUACAGAAUAGCAUUCUGUUAUUUUCACAGCAUAUUUGGGGAUGAGACAAAAUUACACCUGGACAAAGUUGAGGUGAGAGGAGGGAGAAACUUCCUUUACAUUGCAUUAUAUUGAAAAUACUCAGAAUAUUGCACAGACAAGACAGAUCUUACAAUACAAUCAUCCCCAUGACUGAGAAUAAAUGGUUAGGAUCAGAAAUUAUUAGAAUAAUAUGCAUAUAAAAAGUAUUCAACAAUAUGUAUGAAUGAAUGCAUGCAUUCAUGAAAAUUGAGAGAUAGGCUGAUGGAUUUAUCUUGCCUAUUAAUAAUAAAAAAAUCAGCUUCAGCCAAGGACCAGCCAAAAGUUGUGCUAAUAUUUUACUGGAAAGACAGCAACAAAACUACAUCAUUAGAUUUAGAAUAGAGGUUUCAGACUUUGUUUUGAACACAGAUUUCAUUUAAAGUUCUGACAGCCAGUAAACUCAGUCAAUAAAGCUAUUGGAUGAUCUCUUUCAGCCUGGAAUAAAAGAAAGUAAAAAGAGACAAGAUUCUGAAGUGGGUGUUCUGUUAGAAUUAUGAUAGGAGGAUCCUCCAUUUGGACAUCAAUAUUAAGAUACUAGAUUUUACCAUUAACAUAUCAGAAAUGAAUUUUAAAAAUUUUUGAUGUGACUUUUUGGUGGCAAAGUUUUCUUUUCUCUCUUCUUCAUAAAUUUGACACUUUGAAUCCCCUUUUGUCAAUGUAUUAACCACCAGCAGGCAAUCUUGAGAGUCAUCAUUUGGUGAAUGACUGAAUGAAAAGAUCCUUUAUAGUGUAAGUCUAUGCAAAAGAAUUUCCCAGAGGUAUCCAUUUUUCUGUUUUUACGUUAAACCAACCCCAUUGAAUUUGUAAUAGUGAGAAGACAACAUUAGAAGAUUAAAAAUUCUGUUAACCUUAGGAUUUAGCAUUGUCCAAGGGCAAACAUAUCUAAAAAUAUAUAUGUUAAUGUCAUCUUAUUUUUAGGAGAAUGGAAACAAAAUACAUGUUUGUAUUAGGUAGAAAAAUUAUUGUGCUACCUCUAACCAAUUCCUCCAGAAAUUUAGAAACUCAGUUUUCCCCUAUUUUAAGUCAAUAGUCCAGAUACCGCUGUCAUUCAAGAAUGAAUCCCAAAAAAAUUCUAUAGAGAAUUAUCUUUCAUUUAUAAUGUUAUUGAAAAUUAAAUUAAUAAGUAUAAAUAUAAUACUUAUAUUUUAUACUAAGACAAUAUAAUAAGAAUUGGGAAUUCAUGGGUUUUAAAAGAAGUUAUUUUAUAAGCAGGAAAGGUAAAGAGAGGAAAGUUAGAAGUCCAAUAGAAGUCUGAUAACAAAAGGAUGAGAGAAUUAUUGACAGCAAGUUUUGAGUGUGUCUAGGCAAAUACACCAUAUCAAACUGACACAGGUAAAAAGUAUGAAUUUAAAAGGCUUGAAGGCUGGGAUGAUUUAAAAUUUUUUUAAAAAAUAUUUAAUUUAUUACUUUCUUUUUUUUGUCUGCGUUGGGUCUUAGUUGUGGCACGUGGGAUCUUUUGUUGAGGUGCAUGGGCCUCUCUCCAGUUGUGGUGCACAGGCUUCUCUUUAGUUGUGGCGUGCGGGCUCCAGGGUUUGUGAGCUCCGGAGCAAGUGGGCUCUGUAGUUUGUGGCACACGGGCUCUCUUGUUGAGGCAUGCAAGCCCAGUAGUUGUGGUGCACGGGCUUAUUUGCCCUGCGGCAUGUGGGAUCUUAGUUCCCCGACCAGGGAUCGAACUCACGUCCCCUGCAUUGGAAGGCAGAUUCUUUACCACUGGACCACCACGGAAGUCCCUGGGAUGAUUUAAA